CGAAAAUUAUGAAGACGGGCCAGCAUUAAAAAAAUUUGCCUUAGUUAAAACAUCAAAAUCGGCAGGGUUUUUUGAAAUUGCUACUAAAGGUCGAGAAUUAACUACCGCAGAUAUGCGGCAAAGAAGAGUUCUCAGCUUAUCGAAGGUCAAAAUGGAAGAGCCACAGGUCGAUUAAAGUGAUGCUUCGCUGUCUUCACUGCAGCUUCCCAAAGACCACCAAAGUGCGGCGAUCAAGGCGAAAUAAAACGCCAUUCUCCAAAAGGCAAAAAUCCAACAUUGCUUUGGUGCGGUCGUCGCUGAGGAAUAAACGCCUCAGUUCAAGAAUCUCGUUCUUUGCGCCAACAAUGCCGUGCAAAAAAGCUACUUUAGAAAUAUCCUUUAUGAGCUCCAAAUGUAUCGCCUUGGUUGCAAAGCAAAUAAAAACACAGACGUAUAAUUUUA